rnacentral:rRNA from 1 species
CAAGGCUUGACAUGGAUUUCUAAGCGCGUGAAAGCGCGUGACCCUUCGGGGGACUUCCACAGGUGCUGCAUGGCCGUCGUCAGCUCGUGUCGUGAGAUGUUGGGUUAAGUCCCGCAACGAGCGCAACCCUUGUGACUAGUUGCCAGCGCGUGAUGGCGGGAACUCUAGUCAGACUGCCCAGAUCAACUGGGAGGAAGGUGGGGACGACGUCAGGUCAGUAUGGCCCUUACGCCUUGGGCUGCACACGUACUACAAUGCCCAGCACAAUGAGAACCGAUGCCGCGAGGCGGAGGAAAUCUGCAAAACUGGGCCCAGUUCGGAUUGGAGGCUGCAACUCGCCUCCAUGAAGUUGGAAUCGCUAGUAAUGGCGCAUCAUCUACGGCGCCGUGAAUACGUUCCC